rnacentral:rRNA from 1 species
CAGUAGCCACGGGAAUACGAAGGGUGCAAGCGUUAAUCGGAAUUACUGGGCGUAAAGCGUGCGUAGGCGGUUUGUUAAGUCUGUUGUGAAAUCCCCGGGCUCAACCUGGGAAUGGCAAUGGAUACUGGCAAGCUAGAGUGUGUCAGAGGAUGGUGGAAUUCCCGGUGUAGCGGUGAAAUGCGUAGAGAUCGGAAGGAACAUCUGUGGCGAAGGCGACUAUCUGGGCCAACACUGACACUGAGGCACGAAAGCGUGGGGAGCAAACAGGAUUAGAUACCCCUGUAGUCCCUGUCUCUUAUAC